UCUACGGGAGGCAGCAGUGGGGAAUCUUGGGCAAUGGGCGCAAGCCUGACCCAGCAACGCCGCGUGAAGGAAGAAGGCUUUCGGGUUGUAAACUUCUUUUCUCAGGGACGAAGCAAGUGACGGUACCUGAGGAAUAAGCCACGGCUAACUACGUGCCAGCAGCCGCGGUAAUACGUAGGUGGCAAGCUGUAUCCGGAUGUACUGGGGGUAAAGGGCGGGUAGGCGGGGACGCAAGUCAGAUGUGAAGACCAUGGGCUCAACCUGUGGCCUGCAUUUGAAACUGUGUGUCUUGAGUGCUGGAGAGGCAGACGGAAUUCCUAGUGUAGCGGUGAAAUGCGUAGAUAUUAGGAGGAACACCAGUGGCGAAGGCGGUCUGCUGGACAGCAACUGACGCUGAGGCGCGAAAGCGUGGGGAGCAAACAGGAUUAGAUACCCUGGUAGUC
rnacentral:rRNA from 1 species